CAGUAGCCGCGGGAAUACGUAGGUGGCAAGCGUUGUCCGGAAUUAUUGGGCGUAAAGGGCUCGCAGGCGGUUUCUUAAGUCUGAUGUGAAAGCCCCCGGCUCAACCGGGGAGGGUCAUUGGAAACUGGGAAACUUGAGUGCAGAAGAGGAGAGUGGAAUUCCACGUGUAGCGGUGAAAUGCGUAGAGAUGUGGAGGAACACCAGUGGCGAAGGCGACUCUCUGGUCUGUAACUGACGCUGAGGAGCGAAAGCGUGGGGAGCGAACAGAAUUAGAUACCCCUGUAGUCCCUGUCUCUUAUAC
rnacentral:rRNA from 1 species